UACGAAGGGGGCUAGCGUUGCUCGGAAUCACUGGGCGUAAAGGGUGCGUAGGCGGGUUUUUAAGUCAGAGGUGAAAUCCUGGAGCUCAACUCCAGAACUGCCUUUGAUACUGAGAAUCUUGAGUAUGGGAGAGGUGAGUGGAACUGCGAGUGUAGAGGUGAAAUUCGUAGAUAUUCGGAAGAACACCAGUGGCGAAGGCGGCUCACUGGUCCGGUACUGACGCUGAGGUGCGAAAGCGUGGGGAGCAAACAGG
rnacentral:rRNA from 1 species